rnacentral:lncRNA from 1 species
GUCAAGUGUGACACUAUUAAAUUAUACACAAAAGAUAGUUUGAACAUUCCGGCGAUUGUUUCGAUUUCAUUUUGUAUUAGCUUCAUAACUAACUCUCCUUAAUAAGGAAAUGGAAGUGGAAAUGAAACAAGGACAACAGCGCGCUCAUUGAGGACAUGUUUCACCCCUUCAUUCAAGCAGAAGCACUACCCCAAAGUAUCUCUCCCUCGAGCUACUGCACUCUCUUUCUCUCUCGAUUUCCGCUCUACCGAGAGUCGGAAAUUCAAAUUGGAAUAUUUCGUCUAACUCCAGAGCGUUGAAUAAACGAAACAAUCGACAAACAACGCUUCGAGAGCAAUAUGUCUCAAAUAGCUGUUCUGCUGAGUACAGUAGGCGUGUCUAUUGGUAAAAGUUUGCAACUCACAGAACCAUCCAAUCAGCUCUAACGCCUGACUUGGCUCGGAGAAAAGCUUCUGUAAUGCACAGCUGUAGAGAGGAGAGAAGGUUGCACCUUUUUUCAUGGGAUGCAAACAUUGAGGGUGGCAGCAGCGAAUGCGAAUGGGCAUACCACUGAAAAAGAUGACAAAAGCAGCCCAACAAAGCUACCGCAGCAGUACCAACAGCAUCGUCUCAUGGUGUACCGGGGGUUCAAGUGGAGGAGAUCGGAGGAAAAAUGCGUAGAAAUUCAUGCGCAAUUACAUUUAUCCUGUUUAGGAUAUUGCUUUGGUAAGUGCGUUUCAGAGUGCAACAUUCGAAAGUGUUGGUGUGCUCGUAUCCAAGUUUUUUAGACAGGUGGGUUUUGGGGGAAGAAAACCACAGUAUUUAAGCAUUAUUGGGUGUAUAUGGUGUAAGGAAAAUGGAAGUGAUGUUCU